AGCAAACUCUUUUGGAACGGAUCCUAUAAGUGAUGUUGUUAGAUUAAGAGGUGAAGAUCCCCUGGAUGUGGAUACUGGAUAUCAUGUUUUCCACCUUGUACUGAAAGCAACAGAUACAACAGGUCUGUUCUGUCAAGGGACACUAAUUAUCUUGAUUAGAAACAUAAAUGAUGAGAAGCCUCAAUUUGAGCCGUUUCCUUUGGAUUCUAUUAAUGUGACUGAGAAGAAAUCUGUUGGAGAAAUUAUAGCAAGAGUAAAAGCAACAGAUCGAGAUGAAGAUAGCAGUAUCAUUUAUUCCUUUAAGACUCAGCAGAAAAUGUUUGGUUUGGACCCCUGA
ensembl:lincRNA